UUUCAAUGGUUUGUGUGUGAUUCACAGUGUCCAAGUCAUUAGCAGAAACAAUUAAGCAGAUAUAGAUGAUUGUAUAGUCUAUACAUCAAUUUAUGUGUACCUGUUAUGACUGAAUCACUAACUACACAUUUCUGUGUUUUUUUGUUUGUUUAUUUUUUGGUCAUUGUUGUUAUUGUUGUUUUCUCUCUUUAUCAAGUAGUCAAGUACCAAGUAGUCAA
rnacentral:sRNA from 1 species